rnacentral:lncRNA from 1 species
CGAGGUUAUUGGGCAACGCAAAUCCAGGCAGCUGGGCUGGAGGCGGUGGUCGCUAGGCUAGGUCAAGGGGGACCGCCUGGGCAGCAACCAUUCCCCUAUUCCUUGUCCUCAGCUUCCCUCCUGCCGGGCACCUCUCGCAGCGCAGGAUGUGGACUGAGUCAAAGCGGUGGGGGGAAGGGAGCAGGUCCCAGACGACCACGAUUCCCGAGGUUCCCACUCCCUGGAGACUCAGUAUGGCUGUACCGCUCCGGUGGUCUGGUCAGCGCACCUUGCCUCUGCACACCCAGCCUAGCCAUUCUCGAUCAUAACUGCUAAAAGGAGCAAAGGAGGAAGGCUUAAGAAGUAGAAUCCACGUGUAAAUCCAAACCCUUAUAUUAGUCUCCCCAUACCCCCAAAUCCGCCUCCAGGUAGCUCUUUAACCAGAACCCCCGGCAGGUAAAUUAAUUUGACUGCUUGGAGUUAAGAGCUAAAUAAGUUUGGGUGAAAAAAUGAGCUAGGACCUUCGGCGAUCCGGGAAAGGAAGACUGAGUCCCGACGUCAAAAGGCCCCGGCCUCGCAUUGGAGGCUACCUGAUUGCUGGAAAACUGUAGCGUUCAAGACAGUGUUGCCACUCAUUCUGUGCUGGUGAAUCCGUGUACACCAUGAUACCAAGACUUAGGGGUGCCAUCAGGCCCUUCUGGAGCCAGCUUCCUACUUGGAGGACACAGAAAAGACCACCGUGCUUCUGCAAUGUGGAUUCCCAGCACCACUUCAAGGUUCCAAAUCCCCGCUGGACCACUAACUGAUCCUGGUAUAACGUAAAGAGAAGUAGAUGGCAAGGGGAGGAAGCCACAGAAACAUGAUUGAUAUUGGGCAUCUCAUUGUUCUUGAAAAGUUUAGCUGCGAAUCAUGAAAGUAGAUGGCAAUGAAGAGAAAGGAUGUGGAUUUUCAGUUCUAUGUGAAAGAAAUUCUUCUCCAAAGUCACAUCAGAUCAAUGUCCAGUGGCCUUGACCUUAGAGCCUCAGGUCGGGGAAGGCCCGUGAGAUAAGACGUGGAUGUGAGGAGCCUGAACUUUUCAACACUGUCAGGUCUGUGAAAAGAAGAAAUGAAUAGCAAGUAGGUCCAGGAGCACUUUCUCCUCAUCUGGAGCCCAAGCCUUGAGCGACUGAGAGUAAAGGAAUGCUAAGGGAGCGCUGGAGAGAACAGAGACGAUCUUGCCCACCUUCCUUGCUCACAGAUGAGGAUAUUGACCCAGGCAGACUCCAUGACUUGUGUCAGGCCUGUCCUGCUGCCCCAGGACUAGAUGGGAAGCACAACAACAUAUACAAAUAAUCCUCCUGUGAACAGGGACACAAGUGAGAAUGACACCUUUAGAGAGCCCGAGGUGAAGUCUGUGUCCAUGUCUACCAGAAUUUGGCCUAUAAUCUUGACCUCAUCAUGAAGAGCUGCAACCAUCUGACCUAAUGUUACUCAGUAAUCUUCCUGUCAGAAUAAUACGUGAUGAGUAUUUUCAUUUUGUUAUCAUGGUUGUGAUCCUGAUUCCCUGAGGCUGGAUGACUACCUGGGUGGGAGCAUUACUCACUUAACAAAUACAUAUGGGAGUUUCCCGGUUGUCAGGCAUGAAGGAAGCACUGGGGCACCGGACAAACAUGGUGCCCACCUUCAAGGAGUUACAGUCCAGUGUGGACGCCCAUAUCUAAACAGGGCUGAGCUUAAUCCUAUCUACUCAGUGGAGCCCAUUCUGACGGCCACAGCCAACGGCGAUCUGACUCCCCCAAACAACUUGUGCUCCUCUCACUGGACAUUUACAAAGGACAGACGAAAGAAGAAAGAGAGAGAGGGAGAGAGAGAUUAUGUAAUGAGUUAUUCAUAAAGUCACAAUUUAUUUAUUUUUAAUUCUACAAUUUGUCCCCUCUACUGUUAUACUAAAAUGUCCCUUCUUUAAAAAAACCAUGGUCAUAGGCAUUAGCAGCGGGAUUUUUAAUGUGCUUAAAUAGCAACAUCAAAAGCUGGCAACCUCAUAGUUUGGCUGAAAAUUUCCUCUAAGUUUUUGCUGGCCUAUGGACCCAUGGGACUAGGAUGCGCAUUUCCUCUUCAAUUCUAAGCUGAAUAUGGUGGGUAGAGUUUAAAAUCUCUGACUUUUAUUUUGAUCUCAGAGGAAAGCAACAGGAGUCACCCAGCAACCCUGCCAGUCUCCCCACCUCUUAUUCGAAUCUGCGAGCUUCUGCUGUACUUGUCAACAACAGUGACAUAUUGAGAAGGAAUUUCAAAAGCAGAGCUUGCAUCCCAGGACACUGGAGCUCUGAGUGCCAACAGAAAAUUGUGCAUCCUUGCAGUGUAGAGAAAAAGCAGAUUUGCUUUGUUAAAUUCCUUGAAUCAUUUCAAAGGAAAUUUCCCCAGCCCAGAGAUACUGGAAAUGAGAUCUGCUCAGAACAGGCUGUAGAGACAAAUUGAACCCAGGGGCUGGCUAUAGAAACAUUACCCCAGAACCAGAAUAAAAGUUACUUACUUACAUUUUUACCUACUGAAAUGUGGGUCUUACCUUGGCAUCUGAAAUAAAUGACAUAAAACUCCAUUCGUCUCCUUCCCACUGUGUACCCACCUAUUUCGGCAGGAACUAUUAAAACUGUAGCAGGUCAGAGCAAAUUGUCGCUGGCAGCAGCUUCAAUAAAUCUGUGCCACUGAACUGCAGGAAGAAUUAAAAUGCAGAAAUUAGAAAUCAAAGGCACUGAGUUUAGUGUAAGUGCGACUUAUCUGAUUAAGCGUAGUUUCAUAAACCCCUAGAUCUCCAUCUCAUAAAGCCCUGGGGAAAACCUGAGGGGGUGGG